GUCUUUUUGAGUUAUUUUUAAAGUCUGACCUGCCCACUGAAUUUUUUUAAAUGGCCGCAGUAUUCUAACUGUGCAAAGGUAGCAUAAUCAUUAGUCUUUUAAUUGAAGGCUGGUAUGAACGGUUGGACGAGGUAUAAGCUGUUUCAUGUAAAUUUAUAAUAGAAUUUUAUAUUUUAGUCAAAAAGCUAAAAUGUAAUUAAAAGACGAGAAGACCCUAUAAAUCUUUAUAUUUUAUGUAAUUUAAAUUUUUUUGAUUUUUUUUAUUUUUAUUAUAUCAAAUAUUUUGUUGGGGUGAUAUUAAAAUUUGAUGAACUUUUAAUUGUUUUAAGUCAUUAAUUUAUGAAUUAUUGAUCCAUUAGUAGUGAUUAUAAGAUUAAGUUACUUUAGGGAUAACAGCGUAAUUUUUUUGGAGAGUUCUUAUCGAUAAAAAAGUUU
rnacentral:rRNA from 1 species